ensembl:lncRNA
GUCUAAUUUUGUAAAAUGAUGGAAAAAAUGUGAAAAUAAUAUUCAAUGUACACUUAAAAUAAAGGUUCUUUAUUUGCAUAUUUGGUUCCAUGGAGAACCUAAAACAUCAACAAAAGGUUCUUUAUAGUGGACAAAGGUUCAUUAGAUUUUUAAAAGUGUUCUUCAAACUGAGAGAAAAAAAAAAGGAUGUUCACUGAAAGGUUCUUUGGGGAACUACAAAAGGUUAUUCUAUUCUAGUAGGCUAGUUGAAAAAAUAAAAAAAUAAGGCCCUGUGGACUUUUAGAAAUUAAACACUCCUAAAAGGCCACAUAUUCUUCUCAGACAUUUGAUACUUCAAUCUAAAUGUAGAAGUAUAGAAGUUCAGUAGAACUUUCCUUAACUGUUGAGCUUAUUUUACCUCCACUUGACAUCCCAAUUAUGAGUCUUCCAGAUAGGUCAGCCUUGUCAGAGCAACGUGACACAUUUGGCAAACCUCUAAUUGCCUUCAUCAGCCAGUGUGACCGGCAGUUCACGCCUCAGAACCCCGCUUGCGACUCGAUCUCAGUGACUCUACACAUCCGUUUCAACUUCUGACAGCAUACACACUCCUCCAGCUGAACCACUGCAUAUGAAUGCCACAUAAAACAACAAAUCUGUUGUGUUGAAUUUGUUUGAUGUGUCACAGAUGCCCGUUUUCAGACGCUUGCAUCAUUCUGUCAUUACCAGAACAGCAACUGAAAAAGAAUGAGUUGAGUUGUUUACCUUUGUGGCAUCGUCAUCGUUGUUGUUUACAUUGAGGAGGCUGGUGUUUUUGGAUUGACGCUCGUCUAUGAGAUUCCAGAUGCGUCCAAUGGCGAAAAUAACUCUUUUCGUGGUUUUAGUACAGAAUUAAACGGGGGAAAAGUGUCUUUGACUUGUUGAGGACGGAGGAGUCGGGAACUGUGCGCGGAAUAUACAAUAAACUGCCUCGGCCCGGUUGCUGUGGUAACUAGAGCACACCGCCACGUGAAUGUGCGCUCGCGACUUUCCACAGAAGAGCGAGAGACCUUUGGGAAUGUGGGAGGGCUGAUGUCAGUGAAUACUGAGAGUGCACAUCUUAAAUUAUACCUGGAUCUGUCUGCGCAGCAUACCAAUAUGUGAUAUUUUUAUAACUCCGGAUUCCCAGGACUCCGGAACGAGCCGUGUGGCAGGAUUGAUCCAUGCAAUUCAGUCCAUCCAUCCACACUGUUCCUGCAUCUCUGGCUUCAGCCAUCACCACACUAGAUGAUCUGGAUUGAGUUCUGAUGAGAUAAGCUGCUAAAGCUGAUUUUAGAUCAGCAUCAUCACACAAACUGAUGUCACUGGAAUGACCGAUAUGAAGACUUGGAUGGUUGAAAGUCACACAUUCUCUUCCCGUUAAUGACUUUGAGCCUCGAGGCCUCAGACAGGAGCCUGCAGACCUUCGGAUUGAUCCCCUCCCGUCUCCUUCAGAACAUUUCAACUGUUGUGCUCAGAAGAGAAGCUGUGCCGUAUGUGAGAGACACCCAGCAGAGAACAGAAGAACAGCUAGAGCACCUCUUAAAAAGUCACACUUUCAUGUUCUCUUUGAGAGACUUUAAAAGGACAUACCUGACAAACAUUUGCUAUUUUAAUGUUGCUGUAGGGUUAGGUAAGUUGUGGGCAAGUUUUCAGAUAAGGGAAAAAAAAUGUAUUACGUUAACACUUGCAAGUCUUAAUUACAUUUUACAAUGUUAUGAGGUGUUUUUAAUUAUAUAACAAGUGUCAGCAUUAUUCAGCUGUUUUUUAUUCCUCUUUUUGCUUAAACUAUAUUGUAGUACAGUUUAGAAUAAGUACAUAUGUGAAAUUCUUUGUACUAACUAUAAGAUGUAAUAGCUUCUACUGAAGCACAGUAAAGCAUAAGACAUUCCAAAUACUAAAUCACUUUUCACUGAAUUGUUACGCUGAUCAUAUCAUUUGUAUCAUAAACUGAUGUUUUAGUUAGAAAAAUGCAAGUUUGAAGCAUUCUCACUAGUAGUCUCAGAUUUGACCCCAACUUAUGUGACAGCGGUGUUAAAAAAAGCUCUCAGUGCAUAACCUGGUUUGAGGAUCUUUCAUGCCUUGUGUCUUUGGGAUGACCUGCUGUUUUUGGUCCUAUCAGAGUUCUUACAUCUCUUCGGCGUCUCUCUGGCAGCAGAGGACAGAGGAGAAGAUCAAGACGCCUUUGAUGUGUUGCCCACUGCAGGCGAUACCGGGAUAUGGAAUAUGAUUUCUGAAAAAUGUAACAUCUAGAUUAAAAAGUAACAUCUGGUUGAAAUUCACAACAGGGAGUGGUAUGAUUUAUGAGCUGAAUUAUUUUGAAGUGAAGUAAAUAGAUUGUUCAUUAUAUUAUUUUCUUAAGCAAACUAAGCUUUCUUUGACACUUUGAUACAUUUGCUUGGUUUUGUGUAUCAGGGAUAAAAAAAAAAAUCAAAAAGAAUUUCACAGUUUAGGUUUCCAUUCCUCUUUAAAAUUCUGGUUCCUUAAAGGUUCCAAUAAUUAUUAUUUUUAGGGCUUUAAUAGUGAAAUAUUUGGGAAAAGUCUA